rnacentral:rRNA from 1 species
GCCUAGGGGCGCAGCAGUGGGGAAUAUUGCACAAUGGGGGAAACCCUGAUGCAGCGACGCCGCGUGAGUGAAGAAGCGUUUCGGCGCGUAAAGCUCUGUCAGCGGGGAAGAAACACGGUUCGCGAAAGCCGCGGACGGUACCCGACCAAGAAGCUCCGGCUAACUACGUGCCAGCAGCCGCGGUAAUACGUAGGGAGCAAGCGUUAUCCGGAUUUACUGGGUGUAAAGGGCGUGUAGGCGGGCACGCAAGCCAGAAGUGAAAUCUGGGGGCUUAACCCCCCAACUGCUUUUGGAACUGC